GCCCCCUUCCCUGCGACGGCCAGGAGACGGUGGACUACAACUCCCAGCCUGCACCGUGCACGCCUUCUGCCGCUAGUUGUGACCCAGAUGGGGAGAAUAAGGCACAGCGAGGUGAAGUGACUGUCCAAGGACCCUUAGCAGGCUAGUAGCAGAGCCAGGAAUAUAAUCCAGGACUCUUGAAUCCCAGUCUAAUGCACUAUUCAGUAGGCCACACUGCCUCUCCAUACCUUUGAACUGUGUCCUCCCAUCAUAUUCCAAAUGGAAAAAUGAGAAAGGGACCAGCUAACUGAAUGUCCUAGCUUGUUCCACCAUCCUGGCUGAUGGUGCUGCCCAAGUUUGUGAAUGUUUCUGCAUUGGUGAGAACAUAGUCCUCUAUCCAUACUGGUGAUGGUGAGACAAUAUUAAGGGUCAUGAUAUCUGUCUUAUUGCGGUUGAUUUUCAGUCCAAUUUGCUGGCUGAAUGCAUUGGGUUGAGUUGUUUUUUCUUGUAUAUGGUGUUGGGUAUGUGAUAGGAGAGCGACAUCAUCUGCAAAGUCCAGGUCUUCAAAGGAUGAGAAUAAUAUUCAUUUAAUGCCUCUUGGCAUGUCUUCUGUUGUAUGCCUCACUACCCAGUCAAUGACAAUGUUGAAGAGGAUUGCAGACAUGACAUACCCCUGACAUACUCCUGUUUUGACUUCAAAACUGAGCUCACUGUAAUCAACACUGCAUGUAAAGUUGAAAUAGAAGCUUUUGAUGACAUUGAUUAAACGGAAAGAAAUUCCA